CAGGUACCUGGGUUUCUGUACUAAUAUUGCACCCUGAAUUUUGAGAAAUAUUUAUAAGCACCUACUAACUUCAUGAGGAAAAUACCUUUGUCCAAGUGAUCAACUGUUAAAUUUAUAUCCCUCUACCUAUCAAUGAUAUAUUAAUCUGUUUUUUAAAAAAAGGCAGAAAAAGACAAAAAAUGGAAAAGUAAAAUGGGCAAGAGAUUUCUUACUUUUUCCUUCGCACUUUCUGGUAUUUCCCAGUUUUUCUAAAACUAGCAUAUACUAUUUUAAAAUUAUAGGUCAAUAAUAAUACAUGAAUGUGCUUUCCUUGUAAGAAAUUAAGACAUUCCAGAUAAGGCUAAAAAGUCCCUGUUGACCUCUAAUCCUGGAUUCCUCCCUCAUACCUAGAGAAAAUGUCUGUUAAAUAUUGGUAUGCUUUUUUUUUUCUAGAUCUUUUUCAAUGCAGAGUUAUUUGUGGUUUAUAUCUAUGGCAUCAUGUGUGUCUUGUCCUAAAACUUUUUAAAGCUCAAUAUUGUAUCUUUCACUAUUUUUUAUCUUGGUAUGUGCAAAACUACUUUAUCAGCUUAUUCUUUUUACCUGCUUCAGAGUUUUCCAUGAGAAUGGACAUUCCACAGUUUAUACAGCCUUUCCUCUAUGAUGGCCAUUAGGCAUCUUUCCUUUUUUUUUUUGGCAAUUAGUAGUCUUCUUUCAUUGAGAAGAAUUGGUAUGUCAUUUAAAAAUUUAAUUCUAGCUUCCUAAACUAAAAAAACUCCAGAAAGCUCAUGCCUCAUUCUAAUCUCAGAAAGCACUGUCUAGGCUUGGAGAUCUCCCCAGCUGUCUAAGUAGAAAGCAGAAUGAGGACUUCAGUGAGCCUAAUCCCUGCUCUGUGUUCCCCAUCCUUCCCCGACCCCUAGCCCCCAAGGACUGGGAUCAAUAUUGGAAACCUGUGCUUUAGUUCUUCCACCUCUGCUGCUGCUAUGCUGUGUGACCUCAGUGAUACAUGUGAGUGACCACCCAGACGGUGCCUGAGGAAGUGGUCCUUUCCUUGCGGCCCCCAUCAAUAGUCUGCCUCUGGAUUCUGAACAGGGGAAGCUGAAUUGAUGGUCUCUGAGUCACAGUUCCUCAUGAAAAGAGGUGCUUAACAGGAGACACUCGGGGACUGAGGCUUCAGGGACCCACCCCCCCCCGCCACCCCGCCCCACCUCCACUGUUCUGGUGCCCCUGAGGCCUUCAGAAGUUGUUCCUAUUUAUCCCUACGACUUCUGAGGGCUACGUUGCUAUAGCAACCUGGGUCUGCUGAUCUGUGUAAAAAACUUAUCAAUUAGCUGUCUGGAGAGUCCAUUUAAGGGGUAACAGAGAAGCAAUUACUCCUUAUAGAGGAAGCGCAAACAGUCCCCAUUUCAGAGCCUCUCAGGGAGAGUCUGAGAAUGGCAGGUCCAAGUCACUCAUUUUAGGGACGGGGGCACUGAGGGAUGAAAUGAACUGGUUCAUCCCAAGUCACAAAGACAAUUAGAGGCAAGGCAUCCUUUCUGGCUCUGAUUCAGAAGCUCCAUUAUCUCUCUACCUUUGUUCCAGGCUUCUCCUUUCCCCUCCCGUCUAUUCUCCAAGCACCUAUUGCCUCCAAGAUGGGCUCUAGACUGUAAGAGCCUUGUCCUUCACUCUCCCAGUAGCCCCCAGGCCUUUGAAAACAGCCAGGCAGACCCCCUCACCUGCUGCUCACAUGGCAUCCUGUGGUGGCCCACGAAGCCCCAGUGACCUGCUGCCUGGCUGCCUCCCUCCACGGCUCUAACCUCUGUCCCCUUGGCACCAGCUCACUAUGAGGUCCUCCCUAUUCCUUAAGACCAAGCUCCAGCCUCUUCAAAAACAGCACAUCUCUCUCUGACACAGCCACUCUCCCUUUAUCCUGUGUAUUCCUUCACAGCUCCCCUCCCCAUCUGCAACCACACUCUGAUUGUUACGACUUUGCUCGUUCCCCUCUCUGGAAUAAAAAUGGUAAAACUCUGUCUCUUA
ensembl:lncRNA NIPAL4-DT NIPAL4 divergent transcript